UUAAUCGUUCUAGGGAUCAAAUUUAAAGGAGAUUCAGAGGUGGAACAUUAUUCUUAACAGCGUUAUUAAACUGGAUUCCCUACAACGCGAGCCGCAAUUUUCACUGAAAAUUAUACUCGAGGUUGUAAGGAAUACGCGUUACCGUAACGUAUCAUGAUUUUUGGUGCAUUCAACCGAGAAACCUACUAGACCGUUAUUUCAAUCUGUUGUUAUGUUGACUCCUUCGCCAAUUUUCGCCAAAACGCGAUGCAAAGAAAAAUAUUAUAGUGCAAAAUUUACUGGAAGCCUUUUGUACGUUAUACUAUCUUGUCAUAAAGUGCUUAACGUUUCACAAAGGUCUUGGAAACAAACAUACAAUCAGUAAACGCAUUAUCGCACGAUAAAAUGAAGUGUCCAUCGCGAUCUUACAUACAGUCGAGGGAAACUGCCUUUCAGAAAUGAAAAUUGAAUUACUUUCGUGAUUUUAAUUCAACCCAUAUCAAUAUUAAGUAAGAGACCAUCAAACAAGACUUCUUGACUGGAUUUACAUUCAGAUAAGAGAAGAUAACAAUAUCCAUUCGUGACUUCUUUUAAUCUUAAUGUUUCCUUUAGGACAGCUUCGAUGGAUGCAUAAAAAUAAUGUUGCCUCGGCCAUAAUUUCAGCGAAUUUUGCAAGGUAUAAAUAGCUGCGCAAUAAAUAUUUUUGACAUAGAUACAUACAUUUUUCCAUUGAAAAUUACAUAACGAGGAGAAACCGGAAAAAUGGAGGGUAUAAAAUUCUUGCUCAGUAUGGUGGUCGUUUUUAUGAUUGCUUUCAUCUCUUUGGGCAACGCAGAACCCGAAGCUGACCCGAUGGCAAGCCCGGAUCCUGAAGCUGAUCCAGCAAUCGUCGGAUUACCAGACAAAUUUCUUUCCCGCAUGGCCAAAUUUGGCUAAAAUGUAUGUAUGGAAUUUAAAAUAAACAGAAAUUGAUAAUGCAAAUUUUUCGUUUUGGUCUCAUGAUUCUUGUUCCUUGUUCCCUCCGCUACAUCCUUUGACAAACUUUGGAAAUUCAAGACUGUUGGGUUACACCUUGCAAGAUGAAAGGAAAUUAAACGAAAGAAAAAUGGAAGAAAUCAAAAUAGUUUUAUAAAUUUUAAUCGCUAAUGCUCCACGUCUAUACGUUGUAUACCAUUUUAUUAUAAUCAUCGUUAUCUAUGAACACGAUGGAUUUAUAUCUGUAUUCUAUAGAAGCAUCGUAAGAAUAAUAGUUUUUUCGCAGUUACGCCUUUUUUUUUUUAUUUCGAAAGAAACUGUUUCGCUGACCGUUUCAGCCGAAAGUCUCGAAGGUAGACUUUAUUGCACAAUAAACUGAGGCGACUAUAACUGUAGAUUAUGGUUCAAAGUAUUAUCUUUACAACAAAGGAAUGUACUAAGGAAUGUUCUAAUACCCGUAAGCGUUAUAAUACCAUUGUUUAUCAUAAAUUUUGCAAUCGUUCGGCGAAGAAACAUUGUAUUUACAUUCGACGCGAUCAUCGAGUAUCUCUUUGAUAGUUUAAUACGAAUGCAUACAAAUAAUAUUGUCUCGACAACAAUUUUAGUUGAUUUUGCCCGGUAUAAAUAACUGUGCGACAAGUGUUUUCGAUAGUGCAGCAGAAAUUUUUAUAACGAAGAUUAAGUGACAAGGUGUGACCAGAAAUAUGGAGUCUGUACGAUUUUUACUAGCAAUGAUUUUUUUUCUUUGGCAAGCCCGAGGAAAGAAAAGCCUGAAUAUGAAAGCAGUAAAAUUUUUGCUCGGUGCAGCGAUCUCUCUGAUGAUUGGCCUAAUUUCUUACUCCGGGGCCAAUCCUGUGGCUGAUGCGGAUCCCGAACCGAUAGAUCCAAAAGCGUUGCAAUCCCUUCUAGGCGGAUAGGAUUGAAAAUAGAUAUCGCAAAAGGAUAUCACAUUUAUAUCUGUAAUACUAUAUGCAACAUUAUGUACUAACGAAUAUAAACUUAUUAACUUUCACGAAUAAAAUGUUGUAGCAUUAUACUGGUUUGGAAAUGUAUCUGGUCUUAAGUGCUUUUUACUAGUCUCGAUUCUUAAUUUCUACAAAUCCCUAUCAAAAAGUCGAUAAAAGACUAUUACAGUUGAGAAAAAUUAAUGACCUUCAGAUGCCUACGACGCUCUUUUUCACACGUGGACAAUACAGAAUACACGUUUGCUCUGCAUAUACUUCAAUUGGAGACUUUGUAGGUGUAUCAUCAAAAAAAUAUUCUGAACCUUAUUUUUAUUUAACUCUAUUUGAGUCCUCGAGUCCUCGAGAAACGAGUUUAAUUGUGAAUUGUUACCUUGACACCGAAACCAUUAAGGAGGGUCAAGGAACGUCUGUUCAACGAAACAUGAAAGGCCAAAAGUGCCAUCAAGGUUCUCCUCGACAAUGUUUCCAUUGUGGUUCCUGAUUGUCUUUCCUUCCGCUCGUUAUUCGAAGGAAAGCAUGUUCUUUUGAGAAGCAUUUAUAAACGGCAGAGUUUAUAAAAUACCGUAUUUUUGCAAUAACGGAAACAAACAAAAAUUGCAUAUUAGCGUCUUGUAUUCCCACGAACGGUUUCGCGUUAGUUUUCAUAGUUCGAUCGUAUAUUACAUGAGAUCACCGCCAACAUCGUUAUCUUUCAAAUGUGACAUCCUAUCAGAUAAACAGUUAAAUAAAAUCAGAUCGAUAAAGUUUGUCGCGCAAUCUUCCCAGGUAUUAUAUUUUACUUUCCCACACGCUGAACAUCACACAAAUAUGUAUUUUUGUCGAAACCGAAGUUCACAGGGCGCCAUGAAAAUAUUUUUUCCAGAACUGUUGCUCGCGGGAUGUCGUCAAAAUAUUUGUUUCAAAAUUGUAGUUUGCUGGACGUUGUAAAAAUAUUUUGUAAUAAAAAUAAUAUUGCCAAGAUCAAAAAAGAAACGGUAGUAUCGUUUGCACAUUGUGAUAACAAAUAAGUAGCUUGUGACGUCUAAAUAAAAAUAUACCCAAUAUCUUAGCUCGAUAUCAAUAUUUUCACAAUCAUAUCUAUGCAACGAUAUGACGUAUUCAAUCACGUUGCCUGUAAGAAAACUCACACGCGUGACUCUAUUUCUGGUAAAUGAUCGUUACGAGAAGUCAUCGUUACGAUUGCAAUUUUUUAUUUAGAAAACGCGGUGAUCGUCAAAGGAACUGAACAAACGUUUUCUACCGAGAAUUUGAACAAUAGAACGUGAACACCUCUUUCUUUCUUUUUCCAUUUGAAAUGAGAAAUGUUGCAAUCGCGAUAAGAUAUAAUACUCUUCA